GGGAACUAAGGGCCAGCAGCCGCGGUAAUACGUAGGUUGCGAGCGUUAAUCGGGAUUGCUGGGCGUAAAGCGGGCGCAGGCGGUUGGCUAAGACCGAUGUGAAAUCCCCGGGCUCAACCUGGGAACUGCAUUGGGGACUGGCAGGCUAGAGUAUGGCAGAGGGGGGUAGAAUUCCACGUGUAGCAGUGAAAUGCGUAGAGAUGUGGAGGAAUACCGAUGGCGAAGGCAGCCCCCUGGGCCAAUACUGACGCUCAUGCACGAAAGCGUGGGGAGCAAACAGGAUUAGAUACCCGUGUAGUC
rnacentral:rRNA from 1 species